UUUAGUGCUCCUAAUUAGCCUCCGAAUAUUCGAUGUGAUAUAAAUUUUAGGAGAUCCUAGAGAUCCAAACACCCCCUUAGAAGCUUGAAUCGGGAGUGAUGUUAGAAGCUUGGAUGGGGAGUAAUUUUGUUAGGCCUCAAAAACUACUGCAAGGUGAGACAACCUGAGAUCUGUCGCUGUAGAAAUCCUUCCUCACCGCUGGUCAUCAGAAGUUUUGAUGGUUUGCACAUGGACCCGUUUGAAACCAUGAGGAUCUCCACAAGACGUUGCGAGGUUGUUCAGCCGAUACAUCGGGGAGCAUCAUCGUCGGCAGCCAUGUUGGUAUCGCGUUUUCCCCGUGUGCCAGGCUGACCGGCCGGGAGGACGGCUUUGAUGGCGAGGGUCGCUGUUGCAUUAAGUUGCAAGAGGACCUUGCAAUGAAUUCCGUGACGCGGGCUGACCUGAUGCGUCCCAUCGACCUACUAAUUGUGAUUGUUGCGGCUGGAUGAGACCUGAUCUCCAGGUAAGGCACACACACACGCUCCUCCAGUGCAGAUUGUACAAUACCGUGCACUACUGACUGCAAGCGUACGUACCCCAUCCUCUCGACUCUGAGAUGAUAAUUGGCAGUUGGCACCAACGCUCCUGCCGUCCUUUCGGUGACGGAAAAAUGGCACCAACUCGUCAGGAUCAGACCUCUGAGCAAGUAUAAAGGACAUGUGGGUACAGACUACAGAUCGAGUAGCUAGAGCACGUUGUUGAUCCAUGGACAAUAAUGUACAGACAGGCUCAUUACUGGUGAUGUCCAUUAAUGUGAUCUCAAGUUUCGCCGGGAACUGCUACGCCCUCACGGCUCACCGGCGUGUCCGUCCCUGUCGUCGUCGCUGUUGCGCACGAUGGCCAAGUUGGCGAGACAUCUGGUACGCCACAUUAACUCGCGACGAUGGCGAUCGAGAGCUCGUCGAUCCAUCCAUCGCCGGCCGCCGGCUGACCCGGUCAGUCUCCUCCGAUCCGCUACUCUGGUUGGUAGGUCGUCGGAGCCUUAAAGUUCAUCGGUUGUUCUUCCUUUUUUUCUAUCUUGCGUGGAGAAUUGGAGUGUUUUGACCAUUAUAUUCGGGCAUCAUGAAUUCAUGAUCAGUGGUGCUCUGUCCCUGG